GUUCAAUAGAUAUGAAGAAGCUGAAAGAGACUGCACACAGGCUAUCUUACUAGAUGGUUCAUAUUCAAAAGCUUUUGCCAGAAGAGGAACUGCAAGGACAUUUUUGGGAAAGAUCAAUGAGGCCAAGCAAGGUAAGACUAGAAAAUCUGACACAUUCACCUGAUGACCCCACAGAAUAGCUGACAUGCUCACCCUAUCAGACUCCUGAGGUGUAGAAGCAAAGAGUUUUGUAGUUUUCCACAGUGAUUUUUGCAAAGCACUUUGGGGAUGAAGGUGAGUCUGAAAACUGAACCUCGAAUAGUGUGCAAGAUUAUUUAUAACAUACUGUGGUUAAUCACCAAGUGAAAGGAAGGAAAGUUUGAAGAGGGGAAACAAGAACUAGUCAAGAAGAGAGGGUAUCAGCAGCUGGGCAUCGAGGUUAACGUGAGGGCUACAUUGAUUCCUUUCUUACUCUUUUGUUUUGGUUUGGUUUUUGGAACAGAGUUUCUUAUAUAGCCCUGGAAUUUAAUGUGUGGACCAGGCUGACCUUGAGCCUUCCUGAGUGCUGGGAUUAAAGGCAGCUCCAACACACACGCCUGGCCUUUCUCAUUCCCGAUGUGUGCGUUUGUUUGUUUUCCCUCCUGUCCUGUGCCCUGUGCCCUGUGCCCUGUGCUGCAGGUCCCUGUGCUGCAGUCUUCGUCAGUCUUCAGAGAACUGACCUGGUCUUACCCAUGUUUCCCUCAUUGCGUUUGUUCCCUGUUCCUUCGGUUUCACUUGCUGUUCUCUCUCUCUCUCUCUGUUUCCUUUGAAAUCUAUGCUGGGAAGAAAAAGAUGAGAGCCUAUUCUAGCUAGUUUUAUCUGAUUGGCAUAAGCCAGUCAUCUGGAGGAGGAAGCUCCAACUGAGAAACGCCCCUAACCACUUGUUCUGUAGGCAAGCCUGUGGGACAUUUUCCUGAUGGCUAAUUGCUAGGUGAGAAACUGGCCACUGUGAGCAGUGCCACCCCUGCUGGCCUGGAGGUCCUGGGUGCUCUGUGCAAGCCAAAUGCUGUGGGGAGCAAACCACUAAGCAGCACCCUGUGGCCCCUGCACCACUGCC
rnacentral:lncRNA from 1 species